CACCGAGAAGCUGGACGACGAGUCCUAGAGCGACAGGAGAGGGGGCGGGGCUUGCUGGGGGCGGCGCCUUGGCGCGGGAGAUGCGGGAGCCGCGGGCUGAGGCUGGGAGGGGCGGCCUCUCCUGCCCGCCUUUACCAGAGCUCCGCUGGGCGUCUGCGCGUCGGAGUGGAGGCGUUCGCCACCCCUCGUCUCCACCAGGUUUCCGGAGGCGGAGGAGGGAGACGCGAGGUGGACGGGCUUCCUUCCUAGGGAGCCUUCCCCGUGGUGUCCAGCACCCCGCGUCCCAAGAAGAGGGGAAAAGGAGCUGCUCUGGCCAGAACUGAGUGCUCACGCCCACAGGCCUGGGAAAUGGGGGAGCCAAGAAGGAGGUCGCUAUGGGUAUACCGUUUUUAACAAUUAUUUCUAGGUGCGCAGCAGUAGAGAUGGAGCAAACUCAGGCCCUGCCCUGUGCCUGCCAGCUGGAGUUGGGCAGACGUGACUGUAAUGAAGAAUGUGCCCUGAGCCGGAGGUAUGACGGGGACCUGGGGUUACAAAGACAGACCUGCGCUAAAGAACCUUCCUUCAUAAGGAGACUGGGACAUCGAUAACAAGCCACAGGUGGAGUGACAGUGCCUAACAGGGUAAGCGGUGCUGUGGAGUCCUGGACACAUCACACCCCAGCAGGUGUCAGGCUCAGUUGGGUUCACAGACCCCCUCCCCAUGGAGUGGAGUUACCAUGGAGCCAAGGUGACUUCACACCCUGGCCACCUUGGGAGGUAGGAGAGUAGACUGCUCUUUUGUAGUGGUUCUUGGUUUCCACCUGUUUCCAGCUAAAGCUAGACCCCAGUCUCAAAGUCGACUGGGCCUGUGAGCCUCUGUUCUAGAUCGCAGAGCAUCCUCUGCCCACUCCAGCCCAGAUGACCUUCCUUCACCUUUAGAUCUGGCUUCUACCUGCUGCUGAGAACUACCACCUUCCAGAACCACCUCCAGGUAGAUAGAGCCUGGGGAAGGUGAUGUUAACCUGAAUCCAAAUUGAGUUUAUCUAAAUGUUUUCAUUUAGGAAAGCCAGACUGUACUCCUGUGAGGCAGCAAUUCUGUAGUCAUUUUAUACGUUACCUUCUUGCAUGGGGUAGAAGAAAGAAGGCCUCACGUCUCCUCUUGACUUAGAGAACUCAGAGUGUUUAUACACUCAGAGUGCCAGUUGUGAUGUGUUUCCCCUCCAUUUCCUACUCAGGCUAGAUCCCAGCCUCCAACUACAACAUGGUUGACUGAGAUGGAAUACUGCUAUACAGAGCACCACACUGUGGGAUAAGAGGGCCAUUAGAACCCUGGACCUCUUAGUGG
rnacentral:lncRNA from 1 species